rnacentral:tRNA from 1 species
GCCUAAAUAGCUCCAGUUGGGAGAGCGUUAGACUGAAGAUCUAAAGGUCCCUGGUUAAAUCCCGGGUUUCGGCA